rnacentral:rRNA from 1 species
CAUGAAGUUGGAAUUGCUAGUAAUCGCGGAUCAGCAUGCCGCGGUGAAUACGUUCCCGGGCCUUGUACACACCGCCCGUCACACCAUGAGAGUCGGGAACACCCGAAGUCCGUAGUCUAACCGCAAGGAGGGCGCGGCCGAAGGUGGGUUCGAUAAUUGGGGUGAAGUCGUAACAAGGUAAC